rnacentral:rRNA from 1 species
ACUACGGGGAGCAGCAGUGGGGAAUAUUGGGCAAUGGGCGCAAGCCUGACCCAGCAACGCCGCGUGAAGGAAGAAGGCUUUCGGGUUGUAAACUUCUUUUCUCAGGGACGAAGCAAGUGACGGUACCUGAGGAAUAAGCCACGGCUAACUACGUGCCAGCAGCCGCGGUAAUACGUAGGUGGCAAGCGUUAUCCGGAUUUACUGGGUGUAAAGGGCGUGUAGGCGGGAAAGCAAGUCAGAUGUGAAAACCAUGGGCUCAACCUGUGGCCUGCAUUUGAAACUGUUUUUCUUGAGUACUGGAGAGGCAGACGGAAUUACUAGUGUAGCGGUGAAAUGCGUAGAUAGUAGGAGGAACACCAGUGGCGAAGGCGGUCUGCUGGACAGCAACUGACGCUGAGGCGCGAAAGCGUGGGGAGCAAACAGGAUUAGAUACCCUGGUAGUC